rnacentral:sRNA from 1 species
UUGCGGACGGACACUCGUUGGAGUCGC